rnacentral:misc_RNA from 1 species
CAACCCUCAAGCCUGGCCUGGUGAUGGGGCACUGCCUGUAAAAGGGCAGGCCCUGAAAUCUAGUGGCGAGCUCGCCAGGACCCCGAGCGUAGUAGUUACAUCUCGCUCUGGAAGGCCCUGGCGGUGCCCUGCCGUUAAACCCCCAACUUCUGAAA